GGGGAUUUAGCUCAGUGGUAGAGCGCUUGCCUAGCAAGCACAAGCCCUGGGUUCGGUCCCCAGCUCCG
rfam:Rattus norvegicus chromosome 2, whole genome shotgun sequence.